rnacentral:rRNA from 1 species
GACGAACGCUGGCGGUGUGCUUAACACAUGCAAGUCGAACGGUAAGGCCCCUUCGGGGGUACACGAGUGGCGAACGGGUGAGUAACACGUGAGUAACCUGCCCUCAUCUCUGGGAUAACAGUCGGAAACGGUUGCUAAUACUGGAUAUGAGCUUGCAAGGCAUCUUGUGGGUUGGAAAGAUUUUUUUGGUUGGGGAUGGACUCGCGGCCUAUCAGCUUGUUGGUGAGGUAGUGGCUCACCAAGGCUUCGACGGGUAGCCGGCCUGAGAGGGCGACCGGCCACAUUGGGACUGAGAUACGGCCCAAACUCCUACGGGAGGCAGCAGUGGGGAAUAUUGCACAAUGGACGGAAGUCUGAUGCAGCAACGCCGCGUGCGGGAUGACGGCCUUCGGGUUGUAAACCGCUUUCAAUUGUGACGAAGCUUUUUGUGACGGUAGCAGUAGAAGAAGCACCGGCUAACUACGUG